rnacentral:rRNA from 1 species
GGACAAACGCUGGCGGUGUGCCUCAUACAUGCAAGUCGAACGAGAAACUGGAGCUUGCUUCAGUGGAAAGUGGCGGACGGGUGAGUAAUAUGUAGGAAAUCUGCCCUAGAGAGGGGGACAACAGAGGGAAACUUCUGCUAAUACCCAUAUGAGCUUGGUUGAAAUACCAAUCUUGAAAACUCCGGUGCUCUAGGAUGAGCCUGCAUCUGAUUAGCUAGUUGGUGGUGUAAUGGACCACAAAGGCGACGAUCAGUAGCUGGUUUGAGAGGAUGAUCAGCCACAAUGGGACUGAGACACGGCCCAUACUCCUACGGGAGGCAGCAGUAGGGAAUUUUGCGCAAUGGGGGAAACCCUGAACCGCAGCAACACCGCGUGAAUGUUAAGCCCUUCGGGGUAUAAAGUUCUGUCAAUGGGGAAGAAUAAAUGACUGUACCCAUAAAGGAAGCACCGGCUAACUCCGUGCCAGCAGCAGC